AUGAUUUUCAUAAACCUGGCACAUACACAUACACAAAAGCCUUGUUCACCGUACAACUUUUACAACCCAAUUUCGUCACCUGUAUCAACUUUUGUACAUAGCUUCCAAAACUCAAUUCACAUAUUUCACCUUUUUUACGUGUACCAUUUUGCAGCAAACUUCGUCUCUAAACUUGCACCAAUUUUUAUCCAUUACCUCACACAAGUAUCAUCAUCACCUUCAACUUUGUUUCAAUACAAAACCAUCCCCAACAUCCAAAACCAUAAAACUCAUAAACCAAUUCACAGACCUAUUAAGGAAAUAUUCCAACAACAGCCUUCACUAUCACAACCAAACAUCAACCAAUGUUUAAUUAAUCAGACAAAAUCAAUCAACAAACACUAA